CGGGACCCGCCACCCGGGUGCUAGGCAAGGCUCAGGGCCAGGGUCGCUGGGCCCUGCGCCCUCCUGAAGCUCGGCUCCCAGCUCCAGCUCCACCUUGUAAGUGGAAAGGCGCGAUGCAAAGCGACAGAAAGAUCUGGGAAGCCGAGUCUGAGCAUUUGGGAGACCACAGGUGCGCCUCCACAACAGUGUGCUGGCUCUGCAAGGGUUGCUUCAACCGUUAACGGAGAGGCCCAUGUGCUCUCUGUUAAGGGCGGCUGCAUCGUGUCCUAAACCUUGUGGAGAUGCCUCUGGGGCUUCCAGGAAACUGCAUUAGUGCUCCAGAUAAAUCUGCCACAUUCUUCGUCCCUCAUUCGUCACUGGAAUUCCCAGAGAAGGUGGAAUCUGUCCCUGAACUAUGUUCUGCACUUCAGUGCUAGGGCUCUAACACACAGCCUGAUGCACAUCUGGAAUGGAUUCCUGAGGCAUCCAGGGCUGCUGCAUGUGAGGCAAGUGUUGGGCUACUUCAGCUGCACCCUUGGCCUGUCAACUUCUGAGGAACUGCCAAACUCCUCUCACAGGUGCUGAACCUCUUAAACUCCUAUCAGAAAAGCCCAAGUUUGUUUCUUCAAAUCUGCAGCAAAAUAAUUCUCCAUUUAAAAAAAAAAAAAAUGUGGGCACAAAAAAAAAAAAAAAUGUGUGUAUAGAUGUUAUGUCUGUACCACAUGGGGUUAGGGUUAAAGUCUAGAAGGCAUCAUAUCCCUCUUGGACUCGAGUUAUAGUCAAUUGUGCACUGCUUUGUGGGUUCAGGGAAUCAAACCUGAUUCCUCUGCGAGAGCAGCCAAGACUCUUAACUGCUGAGGAAUCUCUCCAAUCCCACAAUUAGUCAUCUUAAUCAGUAGAAAGCAACACCUCAUUGUGACUUUUACCAUUUCACUGAUAUUAAUAAUGUUAAUAUUCAUGUGCUUGUUUGCCAUUUGCAUAUUUUCUUUAGAGAAACAUUUUCUACUUUUUUGACUACUGUUUAAUAGGGUUACUUCUACAAUUUCUUCAUAUUUUUGAAUUUUUAGGUCCUUAUAAAGUUUGUAAAUGGUUUUCAUUCUGUACAUUUUUCAGAGGUCCAAGAAUAUUUUUAUUUACAUGGCUGUCUCAGUACUUUUUUGGAUGAAUAGUUUUGCUGUCAUGUGAAAUGUGAAUUGACCAGAAAUGCAUGGUUCUCCAUUUCUAUUUCAAAAACCUUUGCUUCCCCCUGCCCCAGUACACCAUUUGGCUAGUGUGGCUUUGUUAGCUUGUAGUUAAGUCUAGAGACUGCAAAGUUAGAAUCUUUUGCCUUUGUACCUUGCAAUCUCAUGUAAAAAUUUAAAGUCCAAGAGAACUUGGACUUUGACAGGAAUAGCAACUGAAUCUACGUUGUUUUGAUCAUAUUACCUCAACAGCACAAAUCUAAUAUAUAUAUAUAUACACAAGAUUUCCACACUUGGGCUCACCAGGACUCAGGAAAUGGUCUCGUUUCAGUGUGCAAGUUUCACAUACCUGUGAAAACUUAUUCUCAAAAAAAUUUUUGAAGCCAUUAUAAUUAACAUUUUACUUUUGUUAUAAAACUUUGGUUUCAUAUCCUGUAACUUAGUGGUGUGUACAUGAAGUCUCUAGGAGCUCCCACACAUACUACUUGGAAACAAUUUCUCCCAUUUGAGUUUUUUUUUUUUUGUGUGUGUGUAGAUGUGUGUUGUAUGCGUAUAUGCUACGCCUGCACAAGUACUGACUGGGGCCAGAAGAGGGGGUCAAAGCACUCAAUGUUAUUAGUUGUGGUUGCUGGGACUAACUCCUGGGUCUUCUAGAGGAGGUGCUUUAAGUGCUGAGCCAUUUCUCCAGCCUGGUGACAGCUUUAGUAUUUGAAAAGUUGCACCACUUUCCUCAUUCAUAGGCUAUUCACUUAUUUUAAGUCUGUUUAUUGGCUACCAAAUUCCUGCAAGGUACUUCCCUCCCCCACCCCCAACCCAAAGACAGGGUUUCUCUGUGUAACCUUGACUAUUCUUUACAGACCAAGCUGGCCUCAAACUCAGUGAUCCGCCUGCCAUUUGCCUCCCUGAAAUGAUUAAAGGAUGAACCACCAUGAGGCUCAAGGUUCUCUUUAUUUUGGAUGUUCCAUUGAUUUGGAACCACUUUAAAUUCUCUCGAGUUUUUUAGGACCACCUAUUUUGGCUACAAAUCUUUACCUAAGUCUUACUAUAAAUUCUUAUUUCCUCUUGGAGUUUUGACCAUGAUGGCAAAGUUGAUGGUAAAAGACUAAUUGUAUCAAGGAUGAGUUCACAGAAGACAGUAUGACACUUUAAAGUUCUUCCCAAGUGUUUACAGAACUGUCCAGUUUGUAAUUAUCUGUACUAAGAAAAUGUACUCUGCUGUGACAUAAUCUACAGUACUCUAGAGCUGAGACUCAAACUGAGUCACAACCCCACGUGGUAAGCAAAUACAGGGGCCAUAAACAAGAUGAACAGUAAACAUAUACAAAAUGCAAUCAAAAAAAGCAGUCCAAAGCUUUGUUUUUUUUUUAAAGAAUUCUCUAGGGACUCCCACACGUCACUUGAGAAACAAUUUCUUCCCAUUUAAAAGACUAAUUUUUUUUUCUUUAAUGUAGAUGUGCUGGAAGUAAUCUGAGUGUUUUUGGCAGCACUCUCCCAAGUCACUCUGCACUUCACGCUGGUUCUGAAUAACAUGCACUGCACAUAGCAGCAGGCCACAAAAACAGCAAAUGAUACUUAGCCUGUAAAAUUUAUCUACUGUACAGUUUUCUACUCUUACAGACCCAGGCUUCCUAGAAAACCUACAUCUCAACCAGCAGCACAGAAAAACAGGCGUUCAACAUUAUUCUACCACUAUUUAGCAUGUAAGCAUCAGUUCAGUUUGUGUUGGAACGUUUGACUUUUACUGUUUCACUUGUCAACUUGUGUUAAACUGCUUAGGAAAUGUGACUUGGGACCAAAGCAAAGAUUUCCAACAACUUCUGACCGUAAAUAUAUUUAUGCCAUUUUUAUCUUGUAUUUAUGAGUAACCUACUCUUCAUUGAUGAUUCCAAAAAUUAAAAACUUCAACUAAAACUCUUAA